rnacentral:rRNA from 1 species
GAUGAACGCUGGCGGCGUGCUUAACACAUGCAAGUCGAACGAAGCACUUUGAAAGCUUGCUUUUAAAGUGACUGAGUGGCGGACGGGUGAGUAACGCGUGGGUAACCUGCUUCACACAGGGGGAUAACAGUUAGAAAUGACUGCUAAUACCGCAUAAGCCCCCGGUACCGCAUGGUACAGAGGGAAAAGAUUUAUCGGUGUGAGAUGGACCCGCGUCUGAUUAGCUAGUUGGUGGGGUAACGGCCUACCAAGGCGACGAUCAGUAGCCGACCUGAGAGGGUGUCCGGCCACAUUGGGACUGAGACACGGCCCAAACUCCUACGGGAGGCAGCAGUGGGGAAUAUUGCACAAUGGGCGCAAGCCUGAUGCAGCGACGCCGCGUGAGUGAAGAAGGUCUUCGGAUUGUAAACCUCUGUCUUCGGGGACGAUAAUGACGGUACCCGAGGAGGAAGCCCCGGCUAACUACGUGCCAGCAGCCGCCGUAAUAC